rnacentral:rRNA from 1 species
AUUGAACGCUGGCGGCAUGCUUUACACAUGCAAGUCGAACGGCAGCGCGGGCUUCGGCCUGGCGGCGAGUGGCGAACGGGUGAGUAAUGCAUCGGAACGUGCCCAGUAGUGGGGGAUAGCCCGGCGAAAGCCGGAUUAAUACCGCAUACGACCUGAGGGUGAAAGCGGGGGACCGAAAGGCCUCGCGCUAUUGGAGCGGCCGAUGUCGGAUUAGCUAGUUGGUGGGGUAAGGCUUACCAAGGCGACGAUCCGUAGCUGGUCUGAGAGGACGACCAGCCACACUGGGACUGAGACACGGCCCAGACUCCUACGGGAGGCAGCAGUGGGGAAUUUUGGACAAUGGGGGCAACCCUGACCCAGCCAUGCCGCGUGCGGGAAGAGGGCCUUCGGGUUGUAAACCGCUUUUGUUCGGGAAGAAAUCCUCUGGGCUAAUACCCCGGGGGGAUGACGGUACCGGAAGAAUAAGCACCGGCUAACUACGUG